CCUACGGGAGGCAGCAGUGGGGAAUAUUGCACAAUGGGGGGAACCUUGAUGCAGCAACGCCGCGUGGGUGAAGAAGUACUCCGGUAUGUAAAGCCCUGUCAGCAGGGAAGAAAAUGACGGUACCUGACCAAGAAUCCCCGGCUAACUACGUGCCAGCAGCCGCGGUAAUACGUAGGGGGCCAGCGUUAUCCGGAUUUACUGGGUGUAAAGGGAGCGUAGACGGGAAGGCAAGUCUGGAGUGAAAGCUCGUGGCCCAACCACGGGACUGCGUUGGAAACUGUGUUGCUGGAGUGCAGGAGGGGUAAGCGGAAUUCGUGGUGUAGCGGUGAAAUGCGUAGAUAUUAGGAGGAACACCGGUGGCGAAGGCGGCUUACUGGACUGUAACUGACGUUGAGGCUCGAAGGCGUGGGGAGCAAACAGGAUUAGAUACCCCUGUAGUC
rnacentral:rRNA from 1 species